GAUGAAGAACGUAGCGAAACGCGAUAAGUAAUGUGAAUUGCAGAAUUCAGUGAAUCAUCGAAUCUUUGAACGCACAUUGCGCCUGCCAGCACUCUGGCAGGCAUGCCUGUUCGAGCGUCAUUUCAACCAUCAAGCCCUAGGCUUGCGUUGGAGCCCUGCGGCUGCCGCAGGCCCCUAAAAGCAGUGGCGGGCUCGCUAUCACACCGAGUGCAGUAGAUUACUCUUCGCUCAGGGCGUGUGGCGGGUUCCAGCCGUGAAACCCCCUACUUCUCAAGGUUGACCUCGGAUCAGGUAGGAAUACCCGCUGAACUUAAGCAUAUCAAUAAGCGGAGGA
rnacentral:misc_RNA from 1 species